GACGAACGCUGGCGGCGUGCCUAAUACAUGCAAGUCGAACGCUGAAGGAGGAGCUUUCUUCUCUGGAUGAUUUGCGAACGGGUGAGUAACGCGUAGGUAACCUGCCUGGUAGCGGGGGAUAACUAUUGGAAACGAUAGCUAAUACCGCAUAAGAGUAUAUGUUGCAUGACAUUUGCUUAAAAGGUGCAAUUUCAUCACUACCAGAUGGACCUGCGUUGUAUUAUCUAGUUGUUGAGGUAACGGCUCACCAAGGCGACGAUACAUAGCCGACCUGAGAGGGGGAUCGGCCAAACUGGGACUGAGACAAGGCCCCGAAUCCUACGGGAGGCAGCAGUAGGGAAACUUCGGCAAUGGACGGAAGUCUGACCGAGCAACGGCGCGUGAGUGAAGAAGGUUUUCGGAUCGUAAAGAUCUGUUGUAAGAGAAGAAAGAGUGUGAGAGUGGAAAGUUCACACUGUGACGGUAUCUUACCAGAAAGGGACGGCUAACUACGUG
rnacentral:rRNA from 1 species